ACAUUAAUAAAAAAGGGAGUAUAAUAAACCUAACAAAUUUGGCGGUAUUUAUUUCUAAAUAGAGGAAUCUGUCCUGUAAAAGAUAAAGCACUAUAAUCUUACUUUUUUUAAAGGUUUGUCUACUGCCGUUACCAGACUAAUUUAUUAAAAUUUAGUCAUAAUCUUUUAAAAAGAUAAUUUCAGGUCUAAGUGCAGCUUAUAAAAGAGAAUGAGAUGGAUUACAUUAAGAAAUUUAAACGGAUUUAAUAUUGAAAUAAUUAAUAAAGGUGGAUUUAUAAGUAAUUAUAUAAAAGAAUAAUAUAAUGAAUGAGAAAUUAAAUAUGC
rnacentral:rRNA from 1 species